GAUGAACGCUGGCGGCGUGCCUAAUACAUGCAAGUCGAGCGAACAGACGAGGAGCUUGCUCCUCUGACGUUAGCGGCGGACGGGUGAGUAACACGUGGAUAACCUACCUAUAAGACUGGGAUAACUUCGGGAAACCGGAGCUAAUACCGGAUAAUAUAUUGAACCGCAUGGUUCAAUAGUGAAAGACGGUUUUGCUGUCACUUAUAGAUGGAUCCGCGCCGCAUUAGCUAGUUGGUAAGGUAACGGCUUACCAAGGCAACGAUGCGUAGCCGACCUGAGAGGGUGAUCGGCCACACUGGAACUGAGCCACGGUCCAGACUCCUACGGGAGGCAGCAGUAGGGAAUCUUCCGAAAUGGGCGAAAGCCUGACGGAGCAACGCCGCGUGAGUGAUGAAGGUCUUCGGAUCGUAAAACUCUGUUAUUAGGGAAGAACAAAUGUGUAAGUAACUAUGCACGUCUUGACGGUACCUAAUCAGAAAGCCACGGCUAACUACGUG
rnacentral:rRNA from 1 species